GGUAUCGCCAAGUGGUAAGGCAACGGGUUUUGAUCCCGUCAUUCGUUGGUUCGAAUCCAGCUACC
rnacentral:tRNA from 1 species